rnacentral:tRNA from 1 species
GUGGGCGUAGCUCAGUUGGUAGAGCAUCAGAUUGUGGCUCUGAGGGUCGCGGGUUCAAUCCCCGUCGCUCACCCCC